AUAGUCUUAUUCCAACUCUCUGGAUAUAACUACUUUCCAUGAUUUCUUUACUUUGUAUUUGGAGCCAGCUUUGUUAUUCUAGUUUCAGUGACCUUACUGUGCCCUCCAUGUCUUUCAGGACGACCUUGCUCAUCUCCAGAAGAAGAAAGAUGAGGAGAAGGCACUGAAGGACUUGAAGGCCAAGGCUUCCCAGAAGGGUACUUUUGGAGGGGCUGGGCUCAAGAAGAGCGGUGGGAAGAAAUAACAAUUGCUGCUUUAUGCUUAAAUCAACCUAUUUGGUCACUUCUCUUUACUAUGUUUCGACAAAAGCUUUAUUAUUGUUAUGCUUAGUAGUACUUCAUCUCACUAGCUGUGUUUGUGUUGACUAUCACUAACUGGAAUGCAUGCUUUAUUUACUUGUUUAAUCAUUUGUGCGCUUGGCAGUGAUGAUAAAUAAGUCUUGAUUA